UACGGGGGGUGCAAGCGUUGUUCGGAAUUACUGGGCGUAAAGGGCUCGUAGGCGGCCCACUAAGUCGGACGUGAAAUCCCCAGGCUCAACCUGGGAACUGCGUCCGAUACUGGAUGGCUUGAAUUCGGGAGAGGGAUGCAGAAUUCCAGGUGUAGCGGUGAAAUGCGUAGAUAUCUGGAGGAAUACCGGUGGCUAAGGCGGCAUCCUGGACCGACAUUGACGCUGAGGAGCGAAAGCUAGGGGAGCAAACGGG
rnacentral:rRNA from 1 species